rnacentral:rRNA from 1 species
GGGGAAUAUUGCACAAUGGGGGAAACCCUGAUGCAGCAACGCCGCGUGAGUGAUGACGGUCUUCGGAUUGUAAAGCUCUGUCUUUAGGGACGAUAAUGACGGUACCUAAGGAGGAAGCCACGGCUAACUACGUGCCAGCAGCCGCGGUAAUACGUAGGUGGCAAGCGUUGUCCGGAUUUACUGGGCGUAAAGGGAGCGUAGGUGGAUAUUUAAGUGGGAUGUGAAAUACCCGGGCUUAACCUGGGUGCUGCAUUCCAAACUGGAUAUCUAGAGUGCAGGAGAGGAAAGGAGAAUUCCUAGUGUAGCGGUGAAAUGCGUAGAGAUUAGGAAGAAUACCAGUGGCGAAGGCGCCUUUCUGGACUGUAACUGACACUGAGGCUCGAAAGCGUGGGGAGCAAACA